UUUGGUGUGAUGACAACAACGUUGGUGCCAGGUAAUAUGCUAUGGAAACACUCCGUGACAACAUUGAGUAAUACCAGGAUGCGACAGUGGAAGGAUAAGCGGCUGCAUUUGUUCCAUGGUCAUGGCGUGGAAAUAGUCUCCAGGGAGCUGGGAGCUGAGCUUUGAAAAAUUAAAGAGAGAGAGAGAGAAAAUAUGAGAUACACAUCUGGAAGAUAAGAACUUUUCAUCUCUCUUUCUCUCUCUCUCUUUCUAAUGCCAUCUUAAAUUCUCUAAUAAGCACCCUUUUAUUGUUUAAA